GACGAACGCUGGCGGCGUGCUUAACGCAUGCAAGUCGAACGAUGAAGUUCCUUCGGGAAUGGAUUAGUGGCGAACGGGUGAGGAACACGUGAGAAACCUGCCUUUCAUUUUGGGAUAACUCCGGGAAACCGGGGCUAACACCGAAUACUCCGUCUCGGCGGCAUCGCUGAGCCGGGAAAAAAUUUUGAUGAAAGAUGGUCUCGCGGCCUAUCAGCUAGUUGGUGAGGUAAUGGCUCACCAAGGCAACGACGGGUAGCCGGCCUGAGAGGGCGACCGGCCACACUGGGACUGGGACACGGCCCAGACUCCUACGGGAGGCAGCAGUGGGGAAUAUUGGGCAAUGGGCGCAAGCCUGACCCAGCGACGCCGCGUGAGGGAUGAAGGCCUUCGGGUUGUAAACCUCUUUCAGUAGGGAGGAAGCGAAAGUGACGGUACCUAAAGAAGAAGCACCGGCUAACUAUGUGCCAGCAACCGCGGUAA
rnacentral:rRNA from 1 species